rnacentral:lncRNA from 1 species
CCUUCGCGACCACUCCCACUCCUCUCGCGUUCCUCUCUUCGACAGCCCCAAAUCCCUAGCUCUCCCACUCCUCCCCAGCGUCGUCACGACCUCCCUCAACGUCUCCUCUCCCAUUCCCCUCGCUCACCUACUCCCCUCCAAAGAUGGCAUCGUCAUCUCUCCUCGUCUAGUGUUGUCUCCUCUCUUCCAACUAUGGCUUUUUUACUCUGGCGGAUCUGAAGCAGUGAUGGGUACUGGAGCGGCGGCAGCGACGUUGUAUCUGAAGCGACUGGCGGCACCAUAGCAGCGGCGGCGGCGCUGGAUCUGAAGCGGUUGACGAUACCAUAGCGGCGGGGGGAGCAACUAUGGCGGCCAGUCACCCACUACCACGACCACCACGACGACGGUGAGUCCUUGUGCUUGUCCUCUGUACUGAUGCUACUACUUAAGUGAUGAUGUGACGGAGUGGUUCUGCUCCGAUGAUGCUAUUGUAGUUCUGUUCUAGUAAUGGUGUUGUAGUAGUAGUUCUGCUCUAGUGAUAUUGUUGCUUUAGAUCUUGUGAAGUUGUGAUGGAGGUCAAGUCCAGUAAAGUUCUUGUGCUGGAGUAAACAUCGCUGAAUUUUGCUCGUAGUGAUGUUCACUGAAUUUUGCAUGUGAACUUUUGGCUGCUCCUUGUGAUGUUUACUGGAUUUUACUCCAUUGACAUAUGCUUGUAGUGAUGUGCAAGUAGUGAAGUUUUACUGAGCUCACUAAAGCUUGUGCUUGUGCUUCAGAUCUGCUUUUUGCUUGUGAGGAACAAAGGGAACAAAAGGAGUAUUGCUCUAGUGACUUGCUUGCAUGCUUCCUUGUUGUACAUUUUGUAGGAGUAACUUGCAUGCUUGUUGUACAUUUUCAGUUAACUGUACAUUUUCAGUUAAAAUAUGUUUGCUUGUUGUAUGUUUGCUUGCUUUCCUAUUGUACAUUAUGGAGGAGUAUUGGAGUAGUUAGAGUAAGCUUUCUUUUCUCUUUGCGUUGUUGUAGUCCAAGACGAUGGAUCGAUGUUGUUGCUGCUGAUGUCUGCACCAUGUCUGAAGAAGAAGACCUCUCUGUGGACCGAUACUCUGUGGAGUACUGUAAGCAUGCACACUCUGUUCUCGAAUGGAAUGAAAUUAUUUAUGUGAAGUGUGUUUUUUCAUGCUCCUGCAGUAGUAGCUCUUCAUUUGAAGUGUGAUUCAUACUCCUACUUGUUCAUGUGAUUGUUUGGCUUGUUCAUUUGGAAUGGAAUUUGUUCUUCAUGGAGUACAACAAGAGUGGUAGUCUCAAGUAGAAGUGGUUGUUCAUGUGUUGUUGUUGAUGCAAUUGUUGUACUCCAACUGGAGUAGUUUUAACUUCUGGUAGAGUAGUUAAAACAUGGUGUAGUAAAUUGUAAAACUUUAGUUAGAGUAGUUAAAACAUGUUUUACUUGCAGUAGUAGUGGUGGUCAUCUAGUUAAAACAUGUAAUACUACUUGCAGUAGUAGUGGUGGUCAUCUAGUUAAAACAUGUAAUACUACUUGCAGUAGCAGUGGUGGUCAUCUAGUUAAAAAAAUGGUAUUUGCAGUAGUAGUGGUGGUCAUUUAGUUAAAACAUGUUAUUUGUCGUACUUGGGGUAUUAGAUGGAGUAUAAUGCUCUAUAGGAUUUCUUUUCUUUUAGAAUUCCUUUUCUUUCACUCCUCUCCUCUCCACUCCUUUCUGUAGGAGUAGGGGUAGAUGACGUGCUGUAUUAUGGAGGAGUAUUCUGUAGGAGUAUUAUAGUUAUGGGAUUUGGAUGCAAAUUUCCAGUAGUUAGAGUAAGCUUGAGUUUAAUUAAAUUUGGAUGCAAAAUUCAGUUAAAAGCUUCUGUGAAGUCCAGUGUGAACUUAACUGAAU